rnacentral:sRNA from 1 species
UUAGAAAAUGAUUUCACAAAAAUAGAGUGCUCAUGUAGUUGCAUUGCAUUUAGGAUCGAGUCUAGAGUGUUUCGUUUAGGAUUGUUGCAUAUGCAUAGGGGAUAAUGAAGAGAUAGCCUUGUAAGCAUUUUAGUUCACCAGAUAAGCUCAGUGCCCUCGUUGUUAGUUGUUUGAUGCGUUGUCAUUGAAAUUGAAGUAAAACUGCACCAUGCCUAGAUUGCUCUACUCGACCACACUGUUAGGAUCUGAUAUCAUUCCCUAUCAAUUUGAACUUGAAUCUGAUUUAGAAUUAUCAUGUCUUGGCAUCGAAUUUGAACUCAUGGAUACCCUAAAAUACUUGGAUUUUCUUACUCAUUUUAACCACUCUUGUUGAUCCAAGUAGCUGACUCUCCUUAUUAGAGCAGUUAACCCAUACCCAAACCUGAACUUUCUUUCAAGCCCUAUAUCACUUGUGAGAGUUUGUGAGGUCUUAUUUCGAUUGAGUUUGGUAGAAAGUGUUAGGUUCGUAACGACAGAGAUAGUGUCUCAUGUAGUUCUAGUUCGCGUUCUUCGGACUGGAUAGGACUAGGUGGGCGCUUAUAUCAUGGGUUGGGAUGUGUUUAAAAGAAAAGAGGGAAUUCAUUGUUGAUGAGGAAAGGGAAAGAAUUCUAGGGGAAGUAAGCUAAAGAAGUUAGAAAAAAAAAAUCUAGUAAAGGUUUUGGGAAUGUUAAAGAAAAGAAUGAGGUUCUUGUUAGCUAAAGAAGAAGGGUUAAAAGCCUUUGGUUUUAAAGAUAAAAAAAAACAGGAACCUUAGUUGUUAAAGAAAUCCAACCCCGCUAGAUGUAUCAGAGCGUUGAGAAAGCUUCUCCUAGAGUUAAGAGAAAAGAAAAGAAUGAUAUGAAAAAGAGUUUGAAAGAUUCAUGAGUGCAAAGGGUAGAGUUAAGUUGGGACAGGAGUUGGGAUUACCAUUAGAACUUCAUUGUUAUACUCUGGGUAGAUGGGAUCUUAUCUAUGUAUGCAUAACUUGGGACUUACCUUUAGCAUUCUACUAAAGCUCAAUCAUUCUUGAGGGAUCCCCUGUUACUUAAGCCUAUUUUGUAAGGGACCAUCUUUGUCUCUUGACCUUCACCUUAGCCAAAUGAGUUCAUUGAUGAUGCACUGCUUGAUUCACGUUCCAGAACUAAUGAAUGUUAAAGAGAUUGGUAGAUUUGAAAGCAUGUGUAGGUCGAGUAUAAGAGACAGAUUGAUUGAUAACAAGGCAUAGCUAACGUUUUUCAGUAGAAUUCAAUCAUAUCGCAUCUUAGAACUACCAACUUGGACAUUGAUUUUAUUUGCUCUAUCAUAUGCUUUGGUUCUGAGUCCCCGCCUUCACUCCUCUCCUUCAACUAUGUCUUCUUAUUUGCUUGAGGGCAAACAAAGACUAAGUUUGGGGGAGUUGAUAUGUCUAUAAUUUGCAUAUUUUCAGUGUCCAUUCAUCAUCGUUUUGAGUCCAGUUUCGUAUCAUUCAUCACUGUUUUAUAUCAUUUCUCAUCAUGCUUGCAUACUUUGCAUGAUUAGGAUAGCUUUGCAUACAUAUUGCAUUUCUGAGUUGUUUUCAGGUGAUUUGGAGCUGUUUGCAAGCAAAUUGGAAGAAACGAGCCAGAACCAGAAGACAUACUCGACCCCCAGGUCGAGUGACUUUGGAGCCAUUCUUCCCACAUACUCGACCCCCAGGUCGAGUAACCUCAGCUCAGGCCACUCGAUGACACUACUCGACCCCCUGGUCGAGUAUCACUUCGCCACACCACCUGAUAACACUCGACCAAUCACUCUACCAAGUUACUCGACCCCCUGGUCGAGUAUCAUCACUCACCACCAUCAGCAUCACUCGACCGGACACUCGAUCACAUCUUCACAGUCUACUCAAAUCCGCACUCAACCAGAAAAGCUGAGCACAAGGGAGGGAAGAGGAGAAGACAAAGUGUUUGGAAGCGGCCUGGACCUCCAUCGGAUCACGAAGCCCAUCUCGGCCCAUUAUCUCUCUAUGGGCCGAGCGAUUAGGUUAUUGGCCCGUCUACUAUCAUUUUAUUUCGUUUUGUACAAAUAGAUGUCUUAGGGUUCUGUCCUGGGACAUCCAGUCGACAUUGAAUUUUUGCUUCAGUUUUAUUUUCUAUUUUACUCUACUGCGCCGUUUUUGCUUCUGCAACCUGUAAUUCGAGAUUUUUCCAAGUUAUUCAGAUUCCGCAUUUGAUUUCAUCUGUCAUCUUGUUUCUCUACUCUUUAUCUCUUUACUUAUGCAAUAUUAUCGUUUAUCUGCGUUUAUAUCUUUGAGCAUGUUGUCUGAGUAGUAGACUUAGAAUUCUUAGGGAUGGGAUAAAGUAGUUGUGGAAUUCGUAGUCUGUAGAAUGGUUAAGUUUUAGAAUUGAUUGAAUCCCUUUAGGACUAGUUGCGUUUACUGCUUAUUUCUUUCUGAUCAACUGGAAUUCGAUCCCAAGCAUUCCCGCACCCAGAAGGUGUUCGAUGGAAUGCUUGAUCCACUAGUUCCUGAGAUAUGCGUCUCUAUCCCAAGGGAUUGGCUGUUUAGAGCGUUUAUUGACUUUAUCAGUCUGUUCUUAUUGCCUACAUAGUUAGAUUCCGUUAAUGGGAAUUAGUCUGGGCUAGCUUUGCUUGAGGAUUUCUAUCACGGGAGUGAAUUGAUCUGUUGUUGAACCUGUUGUCUAGGGAUAGCUUGAUUGCGCUUGUUAACCAUUCGAAUAGGCUAGGAUACCACUCUACUCGAUUACCCCAUCCUUAGGAAUUUCUCGUCUAUCUUAUUUCUCUGUUUUAUCGUUAUCGCUUAAUCGUUCUCAUUGCCUGCUUCUUAGUAUUUACAAUCACUCGACCAACUUACUCGACCACACCCAGUGUCUGGCAACAGACUGUGCAGUCGAGUAAGAUUGUCUUGUUUCCUGUCUGUUACUCGUCCAGUAUACUCGACCACACCCAGUGUCUGGCAACAGACUGUGCAGUCGAGUAUAGCUGUUUCAUAUCCUGUCUGUUACUCGACCUGUUACUCGACCACAUCCUACUUCUGGCAUCAGCCUGUUGUGGUCGAGUGAAUUUAGUAAUUCUGUUAUUGCUUCUGUUUUCUGCAUGUUCGCUUAGGACUGUUAGAAACCCCAAAACUGUUAUUGCUUGGCUUGACUUAAUGACUUCUGAUCACAUCUCAUCUGUUUGCAUCACACCCAUUUGGAUUGACACCUAAAAUACUACAAUGACAUGAAUUGUGUUUUAGGAUAAUUGAUUAAAA